UCAGUAACACGUAGUCAACCUGCCCUUGGGUCGGGGAUAAUCUCGGGAAACUGAGGCUAAUACUCGAUAGAUCAAGAUUCCUGGAAUGGGUUUUGGUCGAAACGUGAUAACAGCAUCUUUGUUAUUUUCGCCCAAGGAUGGGACUGCGGCCGAUCAGGCUGUUGGUGGGGUAAAGGCCCACCAAACCAGUAACCGGUACGGGCUUUGAGAGAAGGAGCCCGGAGAUGGACACUGAGACAAGGGUCCAGGUCCUACGGGGCGCAGAAGGCGCGAAACCUUCGCAAUGCGCGCAAUGCGCGACGAGGUUAUUCCGAGUGAUUUCCGCUGAGGAAAUCUUUACUCAGAUCUAAAACGUCUGGGGAAUACCGGGGAGGGCAAGUCU
rnacentral:rRNA from 1 species